UGGGGGAACACAGGAUCCUGGGCUGUGUCCCCCAGCGCCCUGGUUUCUGGGGCCUGUGCUGCUGGAGCCGUGCUCUUGGGGCCGUGUCUCCCG
rnacentral:pre_miRNA from 1 species